GACGAACGCUGGCGGCGUGCUUAACACAUGCAAGUCGAACGGAAAGGCCCUGCUUUUGUGGGGUGCUCGAGUGGCGAACGGGUGAGUAACACGUGAGUAACCUGCCCUUGACUUUGGGAUAACUUCAGGAAACUGGGGCUAAUACCGGAUAGGAGCUCCUGCUGCAUGGUGGGGGUUGGAAAGUUUCGGCGGUUGGGGAUGGACUCGCGGCUUAUCAGCUUGUUGGUGGGGUAGUGGCUUACCAAGGCUUUGACGGGUAGACGGCCUGAGAGGGUGACCGGCCACAUUGGGACUGAGAUACGGCCCAGACUCCUACGGGAGGCAGCAGUGGGGAAUAUUGCGCAAUGGGCGGAAGCCUGAUGCAGCAACGCCGCGUGCGGGAUGACGGCCUUCGGGUUGUAAACCGCUUUCGCCUGUGACGAAGCGUGAGUGACGGUAAUGGGUAAAGAAGCACCGGCUAACUACGUG
rnacentral:rRNA from 1 species